rnacentral:rRNA from 1 species
UGAAAUGCGCAGAUAUGAGGAAGAACACCAGCGGCGAAGGCGGCUUGCUAGACAGUAACUGACGCUCAGUCACGAAAGCGUGGGUAGCAAAUAGGCUUAGAUACCCUAGUAGUCCACGCUGUAAACUUUGAGGACCUGGUGUCGGGGGCAUACCCCGGCGCCGAAGCAAACGCGAUGAGUCCUCCGCCUGGGUACUACGUUCGCAAGAAUAAAACUUAAAGGAAUUGACGGGGGCCCGCACAAGCAGUGGAGCAUGUGGUUUAAUUCGUGGCUACGCGGAAAACCUUACCUGGGUUUGACAUCCCGCUAAAGGCCCAAGAGAUUGGGAGAUAGUUAUAGCGGUGAACGGUGGUGCAUGGCUGUCGUCAGCUCGUGUCGUGAGAUGUUGGGUUAAGUCCCGCAACGAGCGCAACCCCCGCCUUCAGUUGCCAGCAUUAAGUUGGGCACUCUGGAGGGACCGCCGGCGCAAGCCGGAGGAAGAUGGGGAUGACGUCAAGUCAUCACGCCCCUUAUGCCCAGGGCGACACACGUGCUACAAUGGCAGGCACAACGCGAUGCGACCGUGCAAGCGGAAGCGGAUCGCUCAAAGCCUGUCUCAGUUCGGAUCGGGGUCUGCAAUUCGACCCCGUGAAGCCGGAAUUGCUAGUAAUCGCGGAUCAGCAUUGCCGCGGUGAAUACGUUCUCGGGCCUUGUACACACUGCCCGUCACACCAUGAGAGCCGGAAAGGCCCAAAAGCGUCUGCCCAACCUUACGGGGGGCGGCGUCUAAGGCAGGUCCGGUGAUUGGGGUUAAGUCGAAACAAGGUAUCCCUUCGAGAACGAGGGGAUG